UAGGGAAUCUUCGGCAAUGGGGGCAACCCUGGCCGAGCAACGCCGCGUGAGUGAAGAAGGUUUUCGGAUCGUAAAGCUCUGUUGUAAGUCAAGAACGGGUGUGAGAGUGGAAAGUUCACACUGUGACGGUAGCUUACCAGAAAGGGACGGCUAACUACGUGCCAGCAGCCGCGGUAAUACGUAGGUCCCGAGCGUUGUCCGGAUUUAUUGGGCGUAAAGCGAGCGCAGGCGUUUGAUA
rnacentral:rRNA from 1 species